AUACGUAGGGGGCAAGCGUUAUCCGGAUUUACUGGGUGUAGAGGGAGCGUAGGCGGCGGAGCAAGUCAGAAGUGAAAGGCUACGGCUCAACCGUAGUAAGCUCUUGAAACUGGGAAACUUGAGUGCAGGAGAGGAAAGUGGAAUUCCUAGUGUAGCGGUGAAAUGCGUAGAUAUUAGGAGGAACACCAGUGGCGAAGGCGGCUUGCUGGACGACAACUGACGCUGAGGCGCGAAAGCGUGGGGAGC
rnacentral:rRNA from 1 species